AUGAACAGCCCAGCCAGGACUGCAGGAUACAUGUGGUGUAGGUGUCAGAGAGCGAGAGGGAAAGGGUGCGCUAAAUAGAUUCAUGCUGUGUGAGCAGCUGUGUUGCUUAUCAAGAUGCUCAAAUCUCUGACACGUGUUGAUGACCAUGCGUAACCUUGGGAGAUCGCUUGAAUCACUUGGCAAAACAGAUACAGAUGGAUGCAACCGGGGCUAGUUGUCACGCAGGGAUAUGGCCGAAAAGAAAAGUCAAGCAUCACUGCUGGAUAUUAACG